rnacentral:rRNA from 1 species
GACGAACGCUGGCGGCGUGCUUAACACAUGCAAGUCGAACGGAGAGGCCUCUUUCGGGGGGUACUCGAGUGGCGAACGGGUGAGUAACACGUGAGUAACCUGCCCUUGACUUUGGGAUAACUUCAGGAAACUGGGGCUAAUACCGGAUAGGAGCUCCUGCUGCAUGGUGGGGGUUGGAAAGUUUCGGCGGUUGGGGAUGGACUCGCGGCUUAUCAGCUUGUUGGUGGGGUAGUGGCUUACCAAGGCUUUGACGGGUAGCCGACCUGAGAGGGUGACCGGCCACGUUGGGACUGAGAUACGGCCCAGACUCCUACGGGAGGCAGCAGUGGGGAAUAUUGCACAAUGGGUGGAAGCCUGAUGCAGCAACGCCGUGUGCGGGAUGACGGCCUUCGGGUUGUAAACCGCUUUCGCUCAUGACGAAGCUUUGUGUGACGGUAGUGGGUAAAGAAGCACCGGCUAACUACGUG